AAUACGAAGGGACCUAGCGUAGUUCGGAAUUACUGGGCUUAAAGAGUUCGUAGGUGGUUGAAAAAGUUGGUGGUGAAAUCCCAGAGCUUAACUCUGGAACUGCCAUCAAAACUUUUCAGCUAGAGUAUGAUAGAGGAAAGCAGAAUUUCUAGUGUAGAGGUGAAAUUCGUAGAUAUUAGAAAGAAUACCAAUUGCGAAGGCAGCUUUCUGGAUCAUUACUGACACUGAGGAACGAAAGCCUGGGUAGCGAAGAGGAUUAGAUACCCUCGUAGUCCAUGCCGUAAACGAUGUGUGUUAGACGUUGGAAAUUUAUUUUCAGUGUCGCAGCGAAAGCGAUAAACACACCGCCUGGGGAGUACGACCGCAAGGUUAAAACUCAAAUGAAUUGACGGGGACCCGCACAAGUAGUGGAGCAUGUGGUUUAAUUCGAAGAUACGCGCAGAACCUUACCAACACUUGACAUGUUCGUCGCGACUUUAAGAGAUUAAAGUUUUCGGUUCGGCCGGACGAAACACAGGUGCUGCAUGGCUGUCGUCAGCUCGUGUCGUGAGAUGUUGGGUUAAGUCCCGCAACGAGCGCAACCCUCACUUUUAGUUGCCAUCAUUAAGUUGGGCGCUCUGAAAGAACUGCCAGUGAUAAGCUGGAGGAAGGUGGGGAUGACGUCAAGUCCUCAUGGCCCUUACGUGUUGGGCUACACACGUGCUACAAUGGUAUCUACAACAGGAAGCAAGACUGCGAGGUCAAGCAAAUCCUUAAAAGAUACCUCAGUUCGGAUUGCACUCUGCAACUCGAGUGCAUGAAGCUGGAAUUACUAGUAAUCGUGGAUCAGCGUGCCACGGUGAAUGCGUUCCCGGGUCUUGUACACACCGCCCGUCACACCAUGGGAGUUGGUUCUACCUUAAGGCAAGGUUUAAAACCCUUGACCACGGUAUAGUCAGC
rnacentral:rRNA from 1 species